CAAAUGGACCCUGUGGUCAUGUACCCUUACCAUUGAUAUGCACCCUCUGCUGCAAAACGUGCCCCUUCACCAAAGGCAAUGCUAUGUGAGAUCCCAUGGAGAUAACCAUCUCAACCAAAAGUUGAAGAGAGACAGCAGUAAAAAGGAGAAAGGAAUAGCUAGAAGAAGAAUAAAGAACAGAGCAAAAGAAGACUAAGGUUGUGCCAUUGGAAUGGUUCCAAGAAAUACAGGGACAAGUGCAGGAAGUACCGUCCUCUCCAGGUACUUCUGGGACUCUUGAGGAAGGCUCUGGUUGUUGCAAGACAACAGUCUAAGUGGGCUGCAACUCCGUAACUUCAGGAGCAACUGUUUCACAGAGUGAUUCUCCAGGCUAAGCACACCUCUACCCCAUUACUUUGGAUGUUGCCAUUUCUGCAAUCUGGACACCACUGGAGCUGGAAAUUUUCCUGUCUUUGGAAAUGGAUCUCACCUGCCAUGUCUCAAGAUGGAAUGUUUUUGACCCAUCAAAGAGACAAGAGCAGUGAAUUGGAGCCGUAGCGUGAUUUCAAUCAGAAGAUGGAAGAUAAGAACCACUAAAUCUGGGAAUGGAAUAUGGCGGACCCCGGGGAACUUCAAGCCUGGAGAAUGACCGAGUAGACCCGUCAGGAACCGGGCUGAAGGCCUCACAGAAGCAAGAUGCAGUCACAUGGGCAUCUCUGUAGCCAGCUGCACUGCUUACCCUCCUGUCCCAAAGGAGGCUCCUUACUGUGACUCUCAGGCAGGUACAAGGUGGGCUUCCUUGGUCUGAAGCAGCCCCUGAGCACUGCC